rnacentral:rRNA from 1 species
UACCAGCUCUCCGAGUUGUAGGGAUGAUUAUUGGGCUUAAAGCGUCCGUAGCUGGCUUAGCAAGUCUCCUGUUAAAUUCAGCGACCUAAUCGUUGAGCCGCGGGAGAUACUACUAGGCUAGGAGGCGGGAGAGGUCGACGGUACUUUCGGGGUAGGGGUGAAAUCCUAUAAUCCCGGGAGGACCACCAGUGGCGAAGGCUGUCGACUAGAACGCGCUCGACGGUGAGGGACUAAAGCUGGGGGAGCGAACCGGAUUAGAUACCCGGGUAGUCCCAGCUGUAAACUAUGCGGGCUAGGUGUUGGGGUGGUUACGGGCCACUUCGGUGCCGCAGGGAAGCCAUUAAGCUCGCCGCCUGGGGAGUACGGCCGCAAGGCUGAAACUUAAGGAAUUGGCGGGGGAGCACCACAAGGCGUGAAGCUUGCGGUUC